UGGGUUGUAGCUCAGUGGUAGAGCACUUGCCUAACAUGCGUGUAGCACUGGGUUCAAUCCUUAGCAUCACAU
rnacentral:tRNA from 1 species